AGAGUUAAAAGUACGUGAAAUUGCUAAAAGGGAAACAUUUGACACCAGUAUUUGAGGGUCGAAAAUCAGCCUCGGGAUUCCCUGGGGUGCACUUUUCGGCCUUCAGGUCAACAUCAGUUUCGUUUGCCGUAAAAAAGUCAAGGGAAGGUAGGUGCUUGCACUGUUAUAGCCCUGGCCGAUGCGGUGAAUGGGACUGAGGACUGCGGUACAGCUUUUGGCUGGGUUCGCAGCAGCCGUGUGGGACCGGACCUUGGACAGCUUGCUGACCAAGUUUCGGCUUCCAUACGCUCUGUUGUACAACCACAAAUGUACCUAGGAUGUUGACGAAAUGGUUUCAAAUGACC
rnacentral:ncRNA from 2 species